rnacentral:lncRNA from 1 species
GUUGUUAGCCUGGCUCUCCGCCAACUAAGGGACAGUGGUGUUGGUACAACGAGAUGAAGCUCUCUUAGGUGGCAUGAUUUUGCUACUCUCGACCUACGCUCCUCCGAAUGGAGAUGCCCUUCCUCUUGCACUAAUCUGUUGGUGUAAGGUUCUGUUGGACGUCGGGAUGCUAGAGCAGAUGGCGAGAUUGGGUCUCCUAAGGGGUGACCUGU